rnacentral:misc_RNA from 1 species
GAGCACUCCUAUGAAUCAAAAGGAGAAGUUCAGCAAGGAGGAUGGAGCUGAAAAAGUUGAUGAGGCUCACUUUCGAGGAUUAAUUGGAUGUCUAAUGUACCUCACUGCAACAAGGCCUGACAUUCUGUUUGCAGUGAGUGUUUUGUCAAGAUUCAUGCAUUGUGCAAGUGAAUUACACUUAAAGGCUGCAAAAAGAAUUGUAAGAUACAUCAAAGGAACAAUUAACUUUGGUGUGAAGUACUGCAAGGAACAAAAUUUCAAUUUAUAUGGUUAUUCAGAUAGUGAUUGGGCAGGUUCCUUGGAUGACAUGAAAAGUACCUCAGGGUACUGUUUUACCAUGGGUUCAGGUGUUUUUUCUUGGUGUUCCAAAAAGCAGGAAGUUGUUGCUCAAUCAACAGCUGAAGCCGAGUUCGUUGCAGCAACUGCAGCUGUCAACCAAGCUAUUUGGUUGAAGAAAAUUUUAUCAGAUUUACAACUGGAGCAAGAGCAAGGCACAAAAAUCUUAGUGGACAACCAAGCAGCAAUUGCAAUCUCACUUAAUCCUGUGUUUCAUGGUAAAACCAAACAUUUCAACAUCAAAUUGUUUUUUCUAAGAGAAGUGCAGAAGAAUGGAGAUGUGAAUCUGGUUUACUGCAAAACAGAGGAUCAAGUGGCUGAUAUUUUCACUAAGGCCCUUUCACCUAGCAGGUUCGAGCAUUUGAGGAAGAAACUUGGAGUUUGCAGCUUCUAAAUCCAAGGAGGAGUGUUGGAAGUGUCUCUAGAAGCUGCCAAUCUGAUAUGAUUUCAGAAGAUUAUCCACCAUAUUUUUAGGACUUUGGUUGUUAUCACUUUGUUUUAGAUUUUCAAUAAGAAGUUUAGUUUAUCAUGGUAAUCUAUCAUGAUAAUCAUAAGCCCUUGUUUUUAGGAAUUUUUGUUUAAUAGUUUUGUAUUUAAACAAGUUGCUGCUGAAUAAAAUUUAAUGAUAUUUGCAGUCAAGUAUUUCUUGUUUUCUUCAUCGUUUUUACUGCCUAAAAAACUACAAUUGGUAUCAGAGCUCUCUUCUUAAGGGAUCUGUGAGUAUCUUUGUGAGUCUUUGAGAGCUCCUAAACACUGACCCUACUCUCACUAAAAUCAACCUUCAAGCCAUGGAUGCUGAAAUAGGUUUCUCUCAAAUUUCUCCACCAGCCUUUGAUGGGGAAAAUUAUCAAAUGUGGGCAGUGCGCAUGGAAGCCUACCUUCAAGCCUUGGAUGUUUGGGAACCUGUGGAAGAAGCAGACUUUCAUAUCCCUGCUCUUCCUGAGAAUCCCACCUUGGCCCAACUCAGACAUCACAAAGAAAGAAAAACAAAGAAGACAAAGGCAAAGGCCAUUCUGUUCGCUGCUGUCUCUUCUUCUAUUUUCACUAGAAUCAUGACUCUAGAAUCAGCAAAUGCUAUCUGGAAUUAUCUUCGUGAUGAAUAUCAAGGCAAUGAACGGAUCAAAGGAAUGAAAGUGCUCAAUCUUAUUAAAGAAUUUGAAGUACUUAAGAUGAAAGAGUCAGAAACUAUCAAAGAAUAUUCUGACAAACUUCUUAAGAUUGCAAAUCAGGUGAGACUUCUUGGCACUGAAUUUCCUGAAUCUAGAAUUGUUCAGAAACUCCUUGUAACUGUACCCGAAAGGUUUGAAGCCUCAAUUUCUUCAUUAGAAAAUGCUAAGGAUGUUACCAGUAUUACCUUUGCAGAGGUAAUUAAUGCUUUGCAGGCUACUGAACAAAGAAGGCUUAUACGACAAGAAGGAACAGUUGAAGGAGCUUUACAAGCAAAGCACCAAUUUGGUGGAAAGGGAAAGAAAAAGAAUAGCAAGAAGAACAGGGCUGGAGAUGGUG